rnacentral:rRNA from 1 species
UACGGGGGGGGGCAAGCGUUGUUCGGAAUUACUGGGCGUAAAGAGUGUGUAGGCGGUGCUCUAAGUUUGGUGUGAAAUCUCCCGGCUCAACCGGGAGGCUGCAUCGAAUACUGGAAUGCUAGAGGGUGGGAGAGGUAAGCGGAAUUCCUGGUGUAGCGGUGAAAUGCGUAGAUAUCAGGAGGAACACCUGUGGUGUAGACAGCUUACUGGACCACUUCUGACGCUGAGACACGAAAGCGUGGGUAGCAAACAGG